AGCGAACGCUGGCGGCGUGCCUAACACAUGCAAGUCGAACGUGAAAGGGAGCAGUCCCAAGUAAUGUGGCGUGCGGGUGAGUAACACGUAGGUAAUCUACCCCAGAAUCUGGAAUCACCGGCCGCAAGGCUGGCUAAUACUGGAUAGAGCGACGGAAUCCGUACUUGAUUUUUUCGGACAAGGGGGCCUGUCAAAAGUCCUUCGUUCUUGGAUGCGCCUGCGUCCCAUCAGCUAAUUGGGUAGGUAAAAGCUUACCAAGGCAAUGACGGGUAACUGGUCUGAGAGGACGAUCAGGCACAAUGGGACCGAAACAAGGUCCAGACCCCCACGGGAGGGAGCAGGGGGGAAUCUUGCGCAAUUGAGCAAAGUCUUGCGCAGCCACGCCCCGGUAGGUAAGAAGGCCUUUGGGUUGGAAAGCUCUGUCGAGUGGGACGAAAAUGCUUGGAGUGCACAGCUCCAGGAACUGACGGUACCACUAAAGGAAGCACCGGCUAACUACGUG
rnacentral:rRNA from 1 species